GUAGAUUAAAUUAUUUUUAUUUUAAUUUUACUUUUUUUGAAAUAAGAAUAUUAUUUUUUAUUACUUUGUUAGGAACAAAUUGACUUUAGUGAUAGUUAAUUAGUACUGUGAUGGAAUUAACUUAAACAUUAAAAAGAAUAAUUUAUUUUUUGUACCUUGUGUAUCAGGGCUGAUUAAUUUUGAAUUAAAGAUUUAGUUAUCCCGAAUUCAGAAGAGCUAUUUAUGUUUAUAUUUUAUUGUGAAAUAAAUAUUUAUAAAAUAUAGGUUGUAAUGAAAUGUUAUUCGUUUCUGAAUAUAUCUGGUUUCUCAAGAAAAAAAUUUAAUUUUUUUAUUAAUAUAUUAAUUUUUCAAUUUUUUGAUUUUUGAUAUUAAUAACUUAUAUUUUCAGGGAUGAGCUUGAAUUUAGAUUUUUACAAGCAACAUGAUUGGGUUUAAUGAAUUAUGAUUAGAAGUUUUGAUAUUUUGGAGGAUGUUAUAGUCUAUUUAAUUUUAAGUAUUAUUUUUAUUUGCUUUAAGUUUUUUAUUGAGAUUUAUUUAAUAAUAUUGUUUAUUUAUUAAUAAUGAUUAUAUUAGUAUAAUUCUUUGUUUUAUUUUUGUAGUUUAUUAGAUUAGGAAAAGGAAUUCGGCAAAUAAAUUCUUCACCUGUUUAUUAAAAACAUGGCCUUUUGAGGAUAAUUUAAGGUCUGACCUGCCCGCUGAGUAGUUAAAUGGCCGCGGUAUUUUGACCGUGCGAAGGUAGCAUAAUAAUUAGUUUUUUAAUUGAAAGCUGGAAUGAAUGGUCGAAUGAGGGAGUAACUGUCUCUUUCUAAAUAUUUAUAAUUUUAUUUUUAAGUUAAAAAGCUUAAAUGUUUUUAAAAGACGAGAAGACCCUUUAGAGUUUUAUAUAAGUUGAAAUUUUUACUUAUUAGGAUGUUUAAAAUAAAGAUUUUAUUUUAUAUUUGGUUGGGGCGAUUGAAAAAUUAAUAUAACUUUUUUGUAAUUUGAACAUUAAUGAAUGAUUACUUGAUCCAUUAAUAUUGAUUAUCAGAUAAAAUUACCUUAGGGAUAACAGCGUAAUUCUUUUUGAGAGUUCUAAUCGAAAAAAGGGUUUGCGACCUCGAUGUUGGAUUAAAAUUUAAUUUUGGUGCAGAAGCUAAAAGAUUGGGUCUGUUCGACCUUUAAAAUUUUACAUGAUCUGAGUUUAAACCGGUGUGAGCCAGGUUGGUUUCUAUCUUUAAUCAUUUAAAAUUUCUUAGUACGAGAGGACCGGGGAUUUAAUAAAUUAUUUUAUUUUUGAUUUUUAUU
rnacentral:rRNA from 1 species